AUGAACUAAUGAACUAGCCCUUUUAUUGGUUAUUGGAACACUAACACUUACUAAAAAGAGUUUCCCUUGGUCUAUGAACGGGAAGGAUGAAAGCGAGUCAAGUAGGCUAAUUCCUCAUCCGCAAAUCAGCCCUUCCCCUAGGUUCUUUUCUCAAAGAAUAAAGAAUGGUAGGAGGGAAAUCUUGAUAGAAUUUGAAAAAGCAAACGACAAGUCGAAGGCAAUAAAAUAUGAAAAAUAUAUUUUUCAUAUUUCUAAGCUAAGAUUAAACAAAAGGAUUUGCAAAUAAAAGUGCUAAUGCUACAACCAGUCCAUAAAUUGUUAAAGCUUCCAUAAAAGCUAGACUAAGCAAUAGCGUACCUCGUAUUUUGCCCUCUGCCUCAGGCUGUCUCGCGAUACCCUCUACAGCUUGACCCGCAGCAGUCCCUUGACCAACUCCAGGUCCAAUAGAAGCAAGCCCUACGGCCAAUCCAGCAGCAAUAACGGAAGCGGCAGAAAUCAGUGGAUUCAUGAUAAGUUCCUCGUACCAAAAAAAGAAAUGGUUAAUGAUACAAUCAACCAAUGAAUUAUGACUUAAUUAUUCCCUCACUAGGACUCAUCCAGUCGAAGUAACUAAGAACUUCGGAUUGAAGUAAUAAGAUUCUUGAAUCAUCAAAACAACUUCGAUAUAUCUUUUUUACUUUUUAGCCACAGAGUCUUUGUGAACCCAUACGACUUUCAUUCUUCCAUUUCUUGUUCUUGGUUCGAACUGUUAGUUGAAUUAUUUCUUGAUUUCAUCCGUUUAGUCAUUCAAUUCACAGUCACAAGGGGCCGGAAGGACUUCUAGUCUAUUAGAAUCCCCUAGAAAAAUAUAUCUUUAGUAGUUCAUUUCAUAUAUAACUAGCACUAGGCAAUAUCUAAUAUCACAUAUACAUGUCUUUCUUCCAUAACGUAAACCAAGCAUUCAUCUUAGAUUUAAUCCUAUUCGAGAAUCAAGCGUCGAAACAUCUAGAAGGGUUCGCUUAUAGUUAUUCAAGUACAGAUACCUCCCGCCCCUUUCUAAAAUACUAAAAAAAACUUUUGAAAAAUUCUUUUGAAUCUUACCUUUUCUUAUUAUUCCACCUAGAGAAAUCUAAAUGGACAAAUUGAUUAGGACGACAAAUUCCAUAGGUAUAGAAAUAUCAUUAUUUGAUUGAUCUAAGUUCAUGCACUUUAUUAAUAAAACUGAAUAAAAAAAUUAUUCAUUUUUAUUAUUUAUUUAUUAUUAAUAUUUUGGUGAAUCGUUGAAUAAAAUCAACUGAAAGGGAAAUCAUUUCGCCCUUUUUUUUAUUUAAUUACACGUCGUAAACCUAUACAACAAGAAUUAUUGACAAAAAUUCUUAUAUUCAAAUUGUUUUAACAAUGAAUUAAUAAUGAGAUGGACUAAGCAAUCUAAAGUGAAUAUUCAUUGAGACGAAGUAUGAUAUUAAGUGAAGGAAAGGGGAAUUUUAGGAAAAAGAUCUAAAAACAAAGAUCUUUUUCCCCUUACUCUUUAAUAUCAUCGUAAUGUUUUUGCUAUCAUUCUAGAUCGUAUAUAGCAUAGUUGUAUAUUUAGAUUCCCCUAUUCUAUUCCGUAAGUUAAGUAAUUCUCUUAAGCCACCCACCAUAUACAUUUAUACAUUGCUGUGGGCUAAGCUAAAAAAGACUAUUUCAAUGAUGGCCCUCCAUGGAUUCACCUAUAUAAGCCGCGGCUAAAGUUGCAAAAAUAAGAGCUUGAAUACCACUUGUAAAUAAUCCAAGGAGCAUGACAGGUAUAGGAACUACUAAGGGUACUAAAGAAACAAGAACAACAACUACUAAUUCAUCAGCUAAGAUAUUCCCGAAAAGUCGAAAACUAAGUGAUAAAGGUUUUGUGAAAUCUUCUAAGAUGUUAAUGGGUAAAAGUAUUGGGGUUGGUUGAAUAUAUUUUCCGAAAUAACCUAAUCCCCUUUUUGUAAGACCCGCAUAGAAAUAUGCCACGGAUGUGAGUAAAGCCAAAGCAACAGUAGUAUUUAUAUCAUUCGUGGGUGCGGCUAACUCCCCAUGAGGUAAUUGUAUGAUUUUCCAAGGUAAAAGAGCUCCUGACCAAUUAGAAACAAAAAUAAAUAAAAACAUAGUGCCAAUAAAAGGAACCCAGGGCCCAUAUUCUUCUCCAAUUUGAGUUUUACUAACAUCUCGAAUGAAUUCAAGAACAUAUUCGAAGAAAUUCUGACCCCCGGUCGGAAUGGUUUGUGGGUUCCGAACAGCUAUAGUGGCUGAACCUAAUAAGAUAGCAAUUACAACCCACGAAGUAAUAAGUACUUGGCCAUGUACUUGGAAACCUCCUAUUUGCCAAUAGAAAUGUUGGCCUACUUCCACACCGGAUAUAUCGUAUAACCCCUUUAGAGUAUUGAUGGAACAUGAUAGAACAUUCAUAUUGCCUUGCCCUCUGAAAAAAUCGAACUUUAAACAAAAUUUUUUGAUUCAACCAUCUCUUUGUCUACUUGAAUCGGAUAUUUUGAAUACCAACUAAGAUUUAGAAUACUAAUAAAUCACAUAAUAUCCCCAGUUAUUUUGAUCUAUUUUUGGAAAUUCAGAAAUAGUAAGCGAUUCCAUAAGGGAUUUCUAGGGAUUUCUGAAGUAAGUUAUUUAUCUUAUUAUGUUAUUAUUAAUCAAGGAUUUCUUAUAUAGCUAGAACGACCCUCACAAAUUGCGAAUACUAAUUUGUUAAGAAUUAAUCGGAUUGAGGAUAUGGCGUCAUCAUUCGCUGGAAUUGAAAUAUCUGCGAGAUCGGGGUCACAAUUUGUAUCGGUUAAACAAAUUGUUGGAAUUCCUAAAGUAAUACACUCUCGCAGGGCCGUAUAUUCUUCGUGCUGAUCCACGAUGAUUACAAUAUCGGGUACCCCUGUCAUAUAUUUAAUCCCGCCCAGAUAUGUUUGCAAGCGAGAUAAUUGUCUUUUCAACAUAGCUGCAUCUCUUUUCGGGAGACGGUUGAGUCUCCCUGUUUUUUGUUCCAUUCUCAAGUCCCUGAACUUAUGAAGUCUUGUUUCUGUAGUGGACCAAUUCGUUAACAUACCGCCAAGCCAUUUUUUAUUAACAUAAUGACACCGGGCCCUUAUUGCAGCCCACUCUACUGAAUCAGCUGCUUUAUUUUUGGUACCAACAAUUAAGAAUUGUUUUCCCCUACUUGCUGCGUCAAAAACUAAAUCACAAGCUUCUGAUAAAAAACGAGCAGUUCUAGUAAGAUUUGUAAUAUGAAUACCCUUACGCUUUGCAGAGAUAUAAGGCGCCAUUUUAGGAUUCCAUUUCCUAGUACCAUGACCAAAAUGAACUCCUGCCUCCAUCAUCUCUUCCAAAUUUAUGUUCCAAUAUCUUCUUGUCAUUUCUCCCCACAACCUCCCCCCCUUUUUUUAUUCUUUUUCAAAAAAAAAAAGAGACGAGGAACCCUGAACUGAAAUAAAUAAUUGUUCCGAUGGAACCUUCUCUUCUACUGUAGAUUGGACGUAGAUACACGACCCAAACCAUUAUUCUUUUCUAUUCAUUAUUCUUUUUAUUACCAAAGCAAAUAACCAUACCAAAUGCAGAUAGCGAAAGAGACGAAUCCGUUGUUAGGAAUCAUUAAAUCCUAUAAAUGAUUGUUCGGGUAUGUCGUGGAAUUUUUUUGAAAGACAAGAAUCAAAUAAUUUUCUGUGGUGGAACAAAAUAUCUCUCAUCUCCCCCUCGAAUAGAUUUGUUUUUUUUGUUUCCAAAGGAAUGUUGUUAUGUUGUUUUGAAGGGUGCACUAAUCCCUUGAAUCCGGUACCAACGGGUAUCACCCCCCCCAAAACAACGUUCUCUUUCAGGCCUUUCAACCAAUCGAUACGACCCCGGAGAGCCGCUUUUGCUAAAACUCGAGCAGUUUCUUGAAAACUUGCUUCAGAUAUGAAACUUUGAGUAUUGAGAGAUGCUCUUGUUAUUCCCAAUAAGACGACUCGGUAACAGAUCGCUUCUUCCAAAGCGCGCCCCAUUCGUUCUGCUCGCAACAAUCCAAUAAGUUCUCCGGGUGAAAAAACAUUAGACAUUCCAUCUUCUGAAAUCAACACUUUUGAUGUUAUUUGACGUACAAUAAUUUCUAUAUGCCUAUUAUGAAUCUGCACCCCCUGGGAGCGAUAAACCUGUUGGAUUUUAUUAACCAAAGAGAUUCGGCUUUGCGCUAUAGUUAGCUCAGCACCAAUCAAGAAUCCCCAAGGAAUUCCAAGAAUUCUUGGUAUACAUUUGUUCCAACCCUCAACCCUCUUUUCUAGAUUCAUGGAUAUUGAAUCAAUCGAACGCACUUCUAAGACCUGUUCUACUUUUGGAAGACCCUGUGUUAUAUCACCAGAUCUCGAUUUUUCAUAUAUAAAUGUAACUAAUGUAUCUCCUUCGUAAAGGGUUUCCCCAUAAUGGCCAUGAACAGUUGCUCCGGGGGUGGCCAAAUAAGGCUUAGCUGAUCGUAUCACUAUCGAGUCAACUUGAACAAGUAUAACUUGACCCGAUUUGAGGGGCGGUCCAUUUUUGGCUAUACAUACAUUUUCACAAAUAAACUGUCCAAGACUAAUUAUUUUAGAUGUCUCUGCACAAUAAUAGUGAUGGAGAAAAGACCAAUUCAAAUUGAAUGGAUUUAAAAUAAUGUUACGGCAUGGAUCGGGAUUAAAAAUUUUUCCAUUUUCAUCCAUUAAAUAAUAUUUUAAUUUAAUCACUUGAAAAGUCUGUUUUAAAUUGUCAAGUUGCAAAUAUUUAGUUACUAAGAUCUGAUUAUGAGUUAUUAAAUGGUAAGAUGAAUAAAAAUUCUCAAUUGGAAGGCAUGUUCCUAAAGGGCCCAAUGAAUUCCUAAUUGGAAUUAGGGGAUCUUUUUUAAUUGAUUCUUUUAUCACACUGUGAUAUUUUACAUCUUUGAAUGGCUCCAUUCGAGAACAAUUGGCUGCUGACAAAAUUAUCAACGACUGACAUUCCUUAUUUCUAUUCAACAACGUAUGAAUAGUUCCUUGAGGUUGGUUAAGAGAUUGUUGAAUUUUUGCCUUGGAAUAGGAAUAAAUAGCAGAAAAGGGAUUGAUAUUGGUACAAUCCGAUCCAUUAUCAGAGAGCAAUCCUGACCCCGACGGAUCAUUCCUUUUUCCGAUAUACGAAAUAGGGGAUUUCACUAAGUUGAUUUUUAGGAAAUGUCGAAUCAAACCAUUUGUCCUUAUUUCAACAAAAGAAGCACGGGCUUCUUCGCAAGAAGAACUUUUUUUGUCUUGGUUCCAAUUCAAUACUAAACAAGUCCGAACUAAUUGAAUACUUGUGUCAGAAAUUCCUCGAAUCGGUUUGCCAUUUCCAUAAAGGAUAUAAUUGACAAUUCGAAGUUGCACAUUAUCCCUUUCCUGCAAUGGAUCCGGUGGAAAAAGGGUUCCUAAAUUUAUACCGUCCGUUAUUUCAUAUGUGACGACAGGUCGAACUAAAACAAAAAACCUUUUCUUACUAGGUGUAAUUCGUUGGACAUAGAUCCAAUUUUGAACUUUUUUGUAUUCCUUGGAAUUUCUUUUUCCUGUUCCUGGUGGUAUCAAAACGCCGGUAUGCCUGGAUAUCUUAUCCGUCUCUCCAGGAAAAUGGAUAUCUCCAGAAAAGAUUUUCAGUUCAAUUCGUUUUUUUUUUCUCUCCACCCGGACCAACCCACCGACUCGGCUUCUUAGAUUUAAGGUGAUUUGUGUAUCGACCCCAACGAUACUAUUGUUCCGUACCAUUAGGGAAGAAGAUCCGGGCAAGAUAUGCACCUCUUCAGGAAUGAAAAAAAAUCGAUCUACUUUCAUUUGGUAUUUUGGCCUAAAUUCCUUGACUCCUCGAUACUCAAUCAAAUCCUCUUUUUUGAUGACUGAAUGCGUUUCUAUAGUCCCAUAUUUAAUAAUGCCCGAACUCUUUCUUCUGUAUCGAGGAUCAUCGAAAUAAGCAAGAAUACUAUUUCGACGGAAAAUACCAUUUACGGGGAUUUCAAUCGAGAUACCUGAACAGGGCAUUAGUUCAUUCUCGAGUUCUUGAAUCGAGUGUAGUGGAAUGAUGAAUUUAUUUCUUCGCCUUUUUGACAAUAAAGCAGAAUUCCCGUGAAGAAUAGGCGAAUAUACGAGAUUAUACUGGCCAGUACAUAUGAUUCGAUUAAGGUCUGAAUAAUCAGGAAUCCUAUCUUCUUUUUGACCAUAAAAAUCCGAACUAAACAAUUUCUGCCUCGCCUGAUCAUUGGUUACUGAGAGGUUAGAAGUAUAUCUUCGCUUGCCAGAAAGAGAAUGCGCAUUCAUUUGAUCCUGAUCCUUGUGGAUCGAAAGGUAGACUAGACUGGACCUGCACGGCCCUCCUAAUAAUAUCCAUAAAUGACUUGUUUUUGGUAAUAGAUGAACAUUACCAUAUGUAAAUUCGGGUGCAUGAUAGACAUCGGUACUCCAGUGCAUUUCUCCGUCUGAAUCAGAAUAAAUAUGUUUUCGAACCUUCUCUUUAAAAUUCAAAGUGGAUAUUCCUGCGCGAAUCUCAGCAAUUACUUGUUCUGAUUCUACGUAUUGAUCGUUUUGAACUAAAAGCAAACUUUUGGGUGGAAUAUUCACAUUAUGUAGAAUAUCUUCACUCUCAAUAGUUACAUACAAGUCUAUAGAACAUAGAAAGGCGGGAUGCCCAUGACGUGUACGUGUCGGAUGAACCAAGUCCUCAUUGAAUUUUAUUUUUCCAUUAGAUGGGGCUCGCACAUGUUCUGCAGUACCCCCCGUGAAUACUCCUCCGGUAUGAAAAGUUCGUAAUGUUAAUUGAGUACCCGGUUCUCCAAUCGAUUGACCUGCAAUAAUACCUACAGCUUCCCCCAAUUCAACCAGGUCGCCAUGAGUAGGACUACGCCCAUAACAUAAUCGACAAAUCCAAGAUGUACUCCUACAAGUAAAGGGAGUUCGAAUAGAGAUUGGUUGUGCCCGAAAGGUUAUGAAUCGAUUUACAAGUCCAAUGCCAAUGGCUUGGUUUCUAGUGGCAAUACAUCGUGAACCCAUGUAUAUAUCAUCUGCUAAUACACGGCCAAUUAAUGUUUGACUAAAAAUCCUUUCCGGCAUUAUCCCAUUCCGAGGACUCACAGAAAUACCCCGGGCGGUGCCACAAUCCGUUCGACGUACAACAAUGUGUUGAACUACUUCAACAAGUCUGCGAGUGAGAUAUCCAGCGUCUGAUGUUCGUACAGCAGUAUCCACAACUCCUUUACGGGCUCCGUAGCAAGAAAUGAUGUAUUCUGUUAAAGAGAGUCCUUCGCGUAAAUUGCUUUGAAUAGGUAAAUCAAUCAUUUGUCCUUGAGGAUCCGACAUUAAUCCUCUCAUACCUACUAAUUGAUGUACCUGAGAUGCAUUUCCUCGAGCUCCCGAGAAAGACAUUAUAUGAACUGGAUUAAAAGGGUCAGUCAUCCUAAAAUUCGGAUUCAUUUCUUGGCGCAAAUAUUCACUUGUAGCAUACCAUAUUUCAAUGGAUUGACGUAAUUUUUCUACCGCGUGUACAUUUCCAUACUGAUGGUGUUUU
rnacentral:lncRNA from 1 species